rnacentral:rRNA from 1 species
GAUGAACGCUGGCGGCGUGCUUAACACAUGCAAGUCGAACGAAGCACUUCUGACAGAUUCUUCGGAUGAUGGAUGAAGUGACUGAGUGGCGGACGGGUGAGUAACGCGUGGGUAACCUGCCUCAUACAGGGGGAUAACAGUUAGAAAUGACUGCUAAUACCGCAUAAGCGCACAGUACCGCAUGGUACAGUGUGAAAAACUCCGGUGGUAUGAGAUGGACCCGCGUCUGAUUAGCUAGUUGGUGGGGUAACGGCCUACCAAGGCAACGAUCAGUAGCCGGCCUGAGAGGGUGAACGGCCACAUUGGGACUGAGACACGGCCCAAACUCCUACGGGAGGCAGCAGUGGGGAAUAUUGCACAAUGGGGGAAACCCUGAUGCAGCGACGCCGCGUGAGUGAAGAAGUAUUCGGUAUGUAAAGCUCUAUCAGCAGGAAGAAAAUGACGGUACCUGACUAAGAAG